ensembl:snRNA U2 U2 spliceosomal RNA
GUUGCUUCUCAGCCUUUUGGCCAAGAUCAAGUGUGGUAUCUGUUCAGUAUAAUAUCUGAUGCGUGCUCUAUCCAAGGACAUUAAAUGGAUUUUUGAAACUAGGAAUUGGAACAGGAGCUUGCUCCAACCACUCCACGCAUCGACCUGGCAUUGUAGUACCGCCAGGAACGGUGCACCAAAA